rnacentral:rRNA from 1 species
GACGGAGGGUGCAAGCGUUGUUCGGAAUUACUGGGCGUAAAGCGCGGGCAGGUGGCUCUUUAAGUCCUUUGUGAAAUUCCGGGGCUCAACUCCGGAUGUGCAUAGGAUACUGGAGAGCUAGAGACUGGUAGAGGCGAGCGGAAUUCCUGGUGUAGCGGUGGAAUGCGUAGAUAUCAGGAAGAACCCCGGUGGCGAAGGCGGCUCGCUGGGCCAGUUCUGACACUCAUCCGCGAAAGCGUGGGUAGCAAACAGG